GCUGACAACGAAGCCUACAAGCUCAACUUCCGCCAGAAAACUUCCUCUUUCAUCCAAUCAAUUCGUGCAGUGCGGACGUGAAUCGUCUUUUGCUGCCGUGAAAAAUGAGAGCUAAGUGGCGUAAGAAGCGUAUGCGGAGGUUGAAGCGUAAGCGCAGGAAGAUGCGUGCGAGAUCCAAGUAAACCCCCGGCCGGUACCACCUCUCUACCGAAAGCUGUGCGGAGGACCUCGAUUACCGGGGAAGUCGGACCACGGGGUUAGCAUCAUUCCAGACGCCGUCGUGUUGUAUGUGGAGAAUGUGUAGCGAAAACCUGUUCAUUAUCAUGCUGCCAUAAACGCGCGGUGUUGUUUGCUCAAGCCGUUUGCAUUUUGGAAAACCGAGUGUAACAUUCGAUUCCCGAAUAAAGCCGUCAUGAGCGGACAAUGUGCUUCCGGGGACGAUGGAACCGGUAGAAUAUUGAAUAACAUAAAACACUAAAAUAA